rnacentral:tRNA from 1 species
ACUGUAGCUCAGGGGUAGAGCAACGGUUUCGUAAAUCGUAGGUCGUGGGUUCGAUUCCCACCGGU